UUUGUGCCGUUGCAUAUGGGAAGUCCUUCAAAGUCACCCGUUGUGCCGCAGGCAGCAUUCUAAUGAGGUCAUCAAUAACAUGCAACAGCUGCUCAAAAAGAGACUCAUCUAUUGCAGCUACGGUCUUCUCUAACUGAAAAAUAUCUACAAAAUAAUUGGAUAAAUCAUGGCACCUGUAACCUACGAGGCUUUCUUUGUUUGCCUCUGUUGCUGCCCCUGGAGAAACAGGAAGACUGACAACAAGAGCGAAGUUUUGGAGUAUCACCCGGGAUGAACGGGGCUGUCUUGGGCAGUUCAAACAAAGGAUCCAGGUCCGGGAAGUCAAAUUUCUGGGAGUGAGAAACUGGUCGGAAUUGAAGGAAUGAUGGAUGUUGCUAGAUACAGGGAAAUUCUUGAGGAAAACCUGCUUCAGUCUUCCAGAGAUUUGAGACCGGCGGAGGUUCACCUUCCAGAAGGACAAUGACCCUAAGCAUACUGCGUAAGCAACACUCAAGUGGUUUCAGGGGAAACAUUUACAUGUCCUGGAAUGGCCUAUUCAAAGCCCAGUUCUCAAUCGAAUUGAGAAUCUGUGGUAUGACUUAAAGAUUGCUGUACAGGAGCAGAACCCAUCCAACUUGAAGGAGCUGGAGCAGUUUUGUCUUGAAGAAUGGGCAAAAAUUCCAGUGGCUAGAUGUGCCAAGCUUAUAGAGACAUAGCACAAGAGACUUUCAGCUGUAAUUGCUGCAAAAGGUGA